rnacentral:rRNA from 1 species
GACAGCAGCAGCCGCGGUAAUACGUAGGUCCCGAGCGUUGUCCGGAUUUAUUGGGCGUAAAGCGAGCGCAGGCGGUUAGAUAAGUCUGAAGUUAAAGGCUGUGGCUUAACCAUAGUACGCUUUGGAAACUGUUUAACUUGAGUGCAAGAGGGGAGAGUGGAAUUCCAUGUGUAGCGGUGAAAUGCGUAGAUAUAUGGAGGAACACCGGUGGCGAAAGCGGCUCUCUGGCUUGUAACUGACGCUGAGGCUCGAAAGCGUGGGGAGCAAACAGGAUUAGAUACCCCAGUAGUCCCUGUCUCUUAUACU